CGGCCGCCCCGCGGACCCCUCGCAGAAGUUUUGAUCGCCUUCGAAACAAAUCCCUCUGCUCCACCCCCUUGAAAAAUUGAUUUGGGAGUUGGGGAGCGAAGGCUUUCUUUUUUCUCCCCUGCGUUCUUUAUUAUUAAUAUUUUGUAAAGCUCCAGCGCUACGAGGAGUGGCCCCGAGCGAGGUCAGACUGCGCGGACGGCGGGGAGUGCGGCGGCUCCGCCAGGGGACGGCGCCGGCUGGGAGUGAACCCCCUCGGCUGCUCGGGAACCCCCGACUGUCGGCCGAGGGUUGUGGAGAGGCUGAAACGUAAGUGCUCACCACAACACCCAGCACCUACCAGGCUUCUAUACAUAUUUGCCUGUCUGGAACCGGGAGCUUCCCCAGCUGAGGACCAGAGUGAGAGCAGAGAAGGCCCAGGAUCAUAUUUGAAACCAUAAAAGCCACAUUAAGACACUAAGAAUAACUCGCAGAAAGACAUUUUCUAUGAAUUGGACACAGAGUCACAAAACCCAGAAAGUUCCUUGGUCUCUAUCUCACAGGCCUGUGGCUGGGG